GUAUUUGCUUCGGCAGUUACAUAUACUAGAUUGUUAAAUGGAUACAGAGAAGAUUAGCAUGGCCCUGCUCAGGGAUGACACGCAAAAUCGUUAAAGCAUUCCAUAUUUUU